GCCAACUUCUCCAUGAUCCUGAAAGUGGAUGCCUUAUCAUUCUCUUGAUUUCUAGGAACCAUCCCCUCGGUACAGAGCAGUAACCUUUGAUGGCUGAACCUCACUGCUCUCCCACCAGCCUAUCCAUCGAGCAGAAUAUUGGCAGGAAAUAGACAGACAAAAUGCUCCUGAAGCUGUGUAUUUUGUGUUCCUGGCUUUGACAAGCUCUUUGGUCAUUUUCAGCCUGAACUGUAACCUGCUCAGAAUCCAAUGUGAACACACCAGUGAAUGAUGCAGCAUAUGAACCAAGCCCACAUGUCACUUCACACAAGACUAGGCAUCUGCUAAAUAGCAGUCGGUUUGUCUACUGGUGGAGUUUUAUGGACUCCUGGCUGCAAUCCAACUGCCUGAAACUUUUACAACAUUGUGUGACCAAACAAGAAGGCAAAUUACUUCUACCCAAAUCCGUGCAUCCAGCAAUGUCCAACUAUUGCUCCAGAUUUUGUCAAAGCUUCCCAACUGAAAUUCCAGAAUGAAUCAGUAACAUCAGGAGAGAAGAGAGAGUCAAAGUCACGCUCGUCCCAGAGGGUCAUAAGCUGCUCUCUUACUAAAGAGAGAGAGAUGAUUAGGGCAGUGAAUUUCACUUGAACUACGUCAACCUCAGCUAAAGGGUAAGGUUGAGAAGAUGUGACAUUCAUGGUGACUUCAGCCAGGACAGAAGCUGAACACAAACCAUCCAGCAAACUGACUAACCAGCUAACUCACUCAGUUCAGAAGGAAGAAGUUGGAUAAUAUUUUGUUAGGAAUAAAAUUGGAGUUUAGAUUUAAUGAUGUGUUGGAAUUUAAAAUCUGGAAAAUUAUGAUAAGGAUUAAUCAAACAGCAUGUAAUAAUAGAUAAAUAAUUUAAAAUCUGUAAGAUCCAUCAAUGAUCAACAGGGAGAAGAUCUAUUGGACAGUUCAUUACUAAUGGAGAACAAUAUCACUUUUGUUUUAUAACAAAGUAAUGCUUAGGGUAAUGAUUGAAAUAAAGGUGGCCGAAUGGGUUGGGAGUUCAGGUCAUGCUCUCAAUAGAUUAGAGCAAAUGACAUAAAAGCAUAUGUAAAAGGUAGCAGUGAGGGAUUUCUGUUUUUGUUGCUUUUUGAUGAUCCUACAAAACAUAGGGCUGAAUCUUACCAAUUUUUGGUUAAGUGUGAGUUGCGUUGGGGUUUGUGUGUGAGACCAAGGGAGCUUCCUUGACAUUUUAAUUUUUGUAUGAGCUCCAGCCCCAUCUUAUCGCGCACUGUUCAUGGAGAAACUCUCUGCUCAGCAGCAAUGUCCUCCAUUAGACCAGCAUCCUUUGGGAAUAUGCCAUCUUUCAGAGCCCGCUGCCCAUCUGCAGGUGUGUUGGCAGCUACAAGCUGAACUCUCUAGGACUGAGGAAUAGUCAAUAACAUCUAUACUCCACACAUUGGUUAUGGGGAGGAAAUGGCCUAGUGAUAUUAUUGCCGGAUUGUUAAUCCCGAGGCCAAAUAAUGUUCUGGGGAACAGGGUUUGAAUCCCACCACAGCGGAUGGUAAAAUUUAAAUUCAAUAAAUAUCUGGAAUUAAGAAUCUAACGAUGACCAUGAAUCCAUUGUUGAUUGUUGGAAAAACCCAUCUGGUUCACUAAUGUCCUAUAGGGAAGGAAACUGCCAUCCUUACCUGGCCUGGCCUACAUGGGACUCCAGACCCACAGCAAUGUGGUUAACUCUUAACUGCCCUCUGGGCAAUUAGGCAUGGGCAAUAAAUGCUGCCUGGUCAGUGAUGCCCUCGUCCUGUGAAUCAAUAAAGGAAAAAUAAAAUUGGUCCUGAGCACCGAAGGCAGGGCAAGAGUGGGGUGGUGCCAUAAGCCUAGCCAGGUGCAGCAUCUUCACAAGGAGAUAGGGUGCUACCAUGAAACACCUAGUGAAGGGGAAAUCACACACAGGCCCCUGUGAAAAUCUUCACUGCAGGCGAGGCCAGGUCCUCCACCACCACUGCUCCCCUCAGAUCUUUCGAAAGGCCAGGCAAGAAGGCCUUCUGAAUGUCUGGCCCAACCACCCAGACCCAAAUGCCCCUGGGUUCACCUGACCAACUCUAAACUACUGUUGUAAAUUAAAACCAAGAACUGUAGAUGCUAGAAAUCAGAAACUGAAACAAAAAUUGCUGGAGAAACUCAGCAAGUCUGGCAGCAUCUGUGAGGAGAGGGAGAGUUAAUGUUUUGGCUCCAGUGACCCUUCUUCUGAAUGGAUUGUGGUUUCUCUAGCAGUUGCUUGUUUUUAUACAUCCAUUAAUGGAGUGGGCUCCCUCCAGCAGUGUUCCCUCAGAUUUCCCUCCUGGCUGUGUGUUUCUCUGAGGUCUGUGUACAGUAGCAUGUUCUAGAACGGAAAGUUAAUGUUGUAAGCGGUCCUGAUGUGAAUUACUAUGUGCAGAUCAUCGGUGUGCCUCCCCCACUUCCCCCGUACUCCCCUUCCUCCCCAUAUUGCUUAGACAGAGCGCUGCCUUUUGGUGUUUUUGAGGACCAGGGGAGUGCAGUGACAGAGGGAGAGGGAGAGGGAGGGGGAGAGCAAUUUAUGAAGGCCAUGUAUGAGCGAUGGCUGCAAAACAGCUACACAGUUUGGUUAUCAUUCUAUCUGACCAGAUUCCUCAACAUUGAGUGCUAUCCACGUGCUCCACAAUUGGAAUGACAGUGAGUGGCCUGUAACGUCAGUGUUAACUCGUGGCUGAGACCAACAUCAGGCUCUCCUUCUGAGAUACCUGUUCCUUUAGGCCCAACAGCCUUUGUUAUGCCCCAUUUCUUCAUCCAAGCUGCAUACACAUAACCUGCUCCCCACUUCCCCCAGAUUGCGUAGAUCUCUUCCCAUUCAGUUCCUGGGAAAUGAGGAGAUUUGACAAUGAUAGUCAACCUCUGUGAGUUGACCCUCCCCUGCCCAGAGCCCUGGCUGAUGGAUUCACAUUAGCUCUGACUAGGAUGGUCCGUACUUCCUCAGACUGGCCCCAAAAGGAGACAAAACACUGACCAUGACCCACUCCCUGUGACCCAGUCCCUGUGACACAGAAAUAUGGUUUCCCCAUGACCCAAUCCCUAUAGCACAGAGACACGCUCUCCCCAUAACCCUGUUCAAACAUCCACCCCCCCACACACCUCCCCCCCAACCCCCACCCCGCCCAAGUGGGUGCUUGACUGUGUCCAAAACCUGGGACUGAUGUGGGAAUUUGCCUUUGAGUAACAAUACAGGCCCCCGACUGAUUGCAGCCAUCAUGGUGUUUGCUGUAUGCUACUCCCUAGAGACUUCCAGACUAGUCAGACUGAUUAACGUAGAGGCCGUGUGUAAGUGUGAACGUUGAGGUCAUAUAGGUGCUAGAAUGAUGUGUCACACUGAUGUACAACAAGAUGUGCUUGCCCUGACUGUGUACUGCUGCACUGCAUGGAUUUUAUUUUUAAUUUUCAAGUCAUCUAGCAAAGCCAGUCAUUUUUCUUUUGCUGCAAGGUCAUUCUAAAUGAUCCAGGGAGAUAGUUGGAAGCAAAAAUGACUCCAGUCAAGGACAAAGCUUAAUGCCACAUUAACUGCUGUGCUCCAGUGAGAUUCUCUCUCAGCUUGUUCUCAGGAGCUUCCAAAUGCUUCAGGGUGCUGGUGUAGUCCCUGAGUUGUUUGAUGAUCUUAACCUGCUCAUCCAAACUCCAGAAAGUCACACAGAUGAGGCUCUGUCUGGGCAGUGGUGAGUUGGUGUAUAUCCAGCAAACUCUGUUUCACAUUCUUCUCUAGAUGCAGGGCAACCUGCAUUGUGAGCAGACUGUUACCCCACUUAUCCCUCCCAACCUUGAUUGUCUGCAAGGCACAGCAGGGGAAGGCGUAGCAUGUUAAAGGCAUGUCCAUAGGCACCAGGUGAAUGCACACAGGGAGCAAGAAAGCAGCCUUGUAGCUGCUGUACAUGUUCCCUUUCCUGUGCAAUAUCUGUACUCGUGUAGCUGAUGUCCUCUCUCGACCCAGUCUGCCGUUGCAGUACCUAAUGCCAGAUGGCAGUGAAAUCUCCCUGAAUGUGGCGCGACAAUGGUGGGAGGAUAUGUACGGAGGGUGAUGGUUGAUUGUGCCCUCCUGCCCAGCUUGUCCAUGGACAACAUGGAUCUCUGGGAGCAAGUGAUGAGUUGAUUCCACCAGUCAGCCAUUCGAUUGUACCAAUAAUUACAAAGUCUUUUCAAGGGCAACAAGGGACAGGCAAUAAAUGAUGGCCAGCCACUGACACCCACAUCCCACAAAUGAAUUUUAAAAAAAUACCCACACUGUUCAGAGCAUGGUCAUAUUCCACUCAUAAAUUUAAAAUGGAGUAGUUAACUUUUCACUAAAUUAGAAAGAAGACAGGCCUUUAAUGUGAAUAAAAAAACAGCCAGCUGAUAGAACUUUUCAGUAGCAGAUGAGGACUAAGUUUAAAUGUUCCAUGGAUUUGCUUUUAUAUUGAAAAAAGGAGAUUGCUACAAUCCAGGGAAUGUCUCUCAGUGUUCAGUUCUCCAUUCACCAUAACAUUUUAUGAACCAUGUGCUCAGAAAAGUUGCUAGAAUUUCACAUUCCAGUGUGAAUUUAACCCUCAUUGCCUGGAGAAAACCAAACAUCCACGCUCAAAAAUCAGUUGGGAGAAUUAUACUUAAAUCCAGCCAUUUCCUAUUUUAACCUUUCCAUGGAACCUUGUCCCUGCACUUUGUCUGAGUCCAGGAUAGUGGCCUCCAGCUAUUCCAGUUUACAUAGUCUUCUUUCAGUCAGACCAGCUUGAUCAUUACCUGUGUUCGUCUUUUUGCCAAUGCCUUUGUCUCCGCUUUUGCUUCUUUAUGUUAUGUAUUUGGAAAUAAAUCUGAGCAAGCUAUUUGACUGUA